rnacentral:rRNA from 1 species
GAAGUGUUUUCCGUGCUGGCUCAUGUACAAGUCCCUUGGAACAGGGCGUCAUAGAGGGUGAGAAUCCCGUCCUUGACAUGAACUACCAGUGCUCUGUGAUACAUUUUCAACGAGUCGAGUUGUUUGGGAAUGCAGCUCAAAAUGGGUGGUAAAUUCCAUCUAAAGCUAAAUAUUGGCGAGAGACCGAUAGCGAACAAGUACCGUGAGGGAAAGAUGAAAAGCACUUUGGAAAGAGAGUUAAACAGUAUGUGAAAUUGUUAAAAGGGAAACGAUUGAAGUCAGUCGUGCUCUUUGGAUUCAGCCGGUUCUGCCGGUGUACUUCCUUUGAGUGGGGUCAACAUCAGUUUUGAUCGCUGGAUAAAGGCUGGAGGAACGUAGCACCCCCGGGUGAACUUAUAGCCUCCUGUCACAUACA